CUGGCCAGCAGUGCCCUUUUGUCCAUGGAGGCUGUUGCGGCGGCGGCGGCGGCGGCGACGGCCGCCCCCUCCCCACCCCCGGCGGUCACCAGAAGAAGCCUGCAAGAAGGUCGCUGAAUUUCUUCAUUGAACUACUUUUGUGUUGGGAAUGACCUCUAUGUAAUAGUAUGAGAUGGACAACAUUCUUACCUGGACAACAUUCUUACUUGGACAAUGGUCCUUCUCCAUCUAGGAAGGUCACCUUCUCCCUUGGGUGAGCCAGCUUUGGGAGUGACACUCUGGAGCAAUUAGGAAUAAAGGUCCACCCACCAAGGAGCAAGUGGAGCCACCUCAUCGAUGAAUGGAGGAGGGAUGCUGAAGUCUCUUCAAACAACAUCCUGCUGAAUAUAAAUAAAGGCAGAGCCACCCUUGAAUCAAGUUCAAAUGGGAAGUCCAGUGAUGUCUUCCAAUCAUCUCUACCAAUCUCCCGUCUCCAUGCCAGAUGCUCUAAUUCACUAGGCCUGGGGAGCAGCAGAUCUGGGUGUUUGGGGGAAGCUUCCUAGGUGGUUCCGACACAGAGGCAGGUUUGGAAAGCACACAGUUCCAGGGCUCCCCUGGGCACUAGACUGCGUGCUUCACAAGAACAGGGAGUCUACACACGCUGCACCCUCACAACUGGAGGGCCACAUGCCGCUAAGGCACCAACACUAUUUACCAUGCUUCUGUUACUGCAGCUGCUUGUCUGUGGCCCUCCAGGUUCCCUUCAGGCUGAUUUUGGAUUACAAAGAUUGUUAGAGUCACAAUAGACGCUCAGUGAAUGUCUAUUGAUUUAGUCUAGCAUUCUCAGAAAAUGUGGGGAUAGGGCAGAUUUUUCUUCCCUUCAUCUGAGACAGAGCUUUCCCCCUUUGAAAUGUCUCUUUCUGACAUUUUUCUUCACAGCAUCCCAGUGGGUGGGGAAAGACCAGCAUCCCCCUCCCACCCCAUUUUAUAGAUGGGGAAACUGAGAACUAGAAAAAUGUAUUUGUUUACUCCUUGCCAAAAAGGCAAUUCAAAGCGGAGCUGGGACUGGCUUCUAUGGACGUAUUUACAGUGAUUGUCUCUCCUUAAGCCACAAUAAGGAAGAUCUUUUCUCCCGAGAGUACAUUAGAACAAGCCCUAAUAUAAAUGUCUUCUACUCCGCAGAUAACUGGUAAUGUAUGAUUAUGAUACGAUCUCAUGAUUUUGUUCAGCAACAAACACAAUCUUAUAUUUUAUUUCAGAGAUGAUAAACUUUACAAUCAGAUAAUGUUAUUUUUUACACUUUGGGUCCCUCAGCCCCUUUUAAAAUACUACUUAGACUUUUCCUAUCAGCAGUAUUUAUAUACUGCAUUUCCCAUUUAUUUUCAUCAAGCCUGUUCUCUCAAAGAUUCUAAUAAGCUUCCUUUGUAACUGAAUCCCUCUAUUUCCUCUCCAGUACCUAUGAAAGAACAGACCUCCUCUGAAAGGCACAACAUUUAAUGUAUUAGCUUCCACUCUGAUUCUCAGACUUUUCUAGAUAACCUUGAAAGGGCAUCAGUUCUAUGGUGUUCUCUAAUGAAUAUCAUGGGGACGUGCACAUUUUGACCCAAACCACGAGAGGAGCUCCUUUGGAAGUUAUCCCAGAUUUAGGUCUGCAGGAUCAUAAGAAUGAGUUUAUUUAUGGACAAUGAUUAUGUGAAAUCUGUAAAAAUACAGAAAAUUCUAAUCAUUGCCUUACUCUCAAGCGUCUCUCCUCAAUCUGAGCAUAAUUUCUUUCAGUUUUGAUCAGGAUGUGUGAUGCAUACCUAAUGGGCUUCCCACCGCCAUCUGGCAAACUGUGCAAGUUCACAGCUCGCACUACGGCAGCAGCAAGCAAUACCACAAGCCAAAUUUAAAGUAAAAGUGGGCUACGGGACAGUUGAAUCCGUAAGAAUGAGUUCUCUUUUAGCUCCAGAAAUGCUUUUUGGUGGGGCAACCAUCUUUAAUAGUUUGUAAGUUUCCAUAGCCUUCAGAGAGGGCCCUUUUUACCUGCGCUGACGAAGGUAAAUCUGAGUUUCCAAAUUGUGUUGUUACCCAAGAAAAGUUUGCUUAUUUGUGGAGUUUCAAGGCUUUCUUCAGUUAGAAUCACUCAUUCAUCACUAGUUGUUAGAAAACAAUUGAAUUAUAUUAGGAGGCUGGGUUCCGAGGACUUUCUUUUAACUUGAGAAAAUGCUCAUGUAUAUCAACCAAUAUUCAAAAUUGUGUUUAUGAAUAAUAAUUCUAGGAAAACACCUUAAUUGACUUGCUUGAAAGUGUUGUUACUGUCAGUUAUUCUUCACUUCAAGAUGGGUCACUAGGUGCCUCUAAGUAACACUGGAGGAGCAAAUGAAGAUGCUGAGGACUCUGGCGAUUGCAAUUACAUCCAGGGUAAUUGAUGCUCUUUAUAAUGCUUGCAUGAAAUAAUUUUUCCCUUAAGAAAUACUUACUUCCAUAUCCUUUUCACGUUAUCCUAUUCCCAGGUCGGAACUUAUCUUUGUAUUAUAUUCACUUAUGUAAGUCCAUAAUAUUUUAGUUGUGAGUGUAACUCAAGCAAACUGACUUGAAUUUGCUUCGACUCCAAGGAGGAGCUGAAUAACUAUUUCAUUGGUUCUAAAAUUUGCAUUACAAUUUUUAAAAAUAUCUCUGAAAUAAGAUGAG